rnacentral:tRNA from 1 species
AAAAAGAUAAGCUAAAUAAAGCUUAUAGGUUCAUACCCUAUAUAUGAAAGAAAAUACUUUCUCUUUUUA